rnacentral:rRNA from 1 species
GUGUCAGCAGCCGCGGUAAUACAGAGGGUGCGAGCGUUAAUCGGAAUUACUGGGCGUAAAGCGCACGUAGGCGGCUUUGCAAGUCGGGUGUGAAAUCCCCGGGCUCAACCUGGGAACUGCAUUCGAGACUGCACUGCUGGAGUAUGGGAGAGGGAAGCGGAAUUUCCGGUGUAGCGGUGAAAUGCGUAGAUAUCGGAAGGAACAUCAGUGGCGAAAGCGGCUUCCUGGACCAAUACUGACGCUCAUGUGCGAAAGCGUGGGGAGCAAACAGGAUUAGAUACCCCAGUAGUCC